UGACUAUGUACAGUUAAAUUCAAUCAGUGACAUUCGACAGUAGUGUAUAAAAAUUGAACUUAAAAUUUCAACAACGUUAAAAUAUUUGGAAUUGUAUGAUCCUACCAAAUCCUCAAUACUAUGAAUCACGUAACAGCAACAGUUGAUCAACCAUACCGUAAGAACACUGAGGAUUCACUAGAUUUGAAACAUGAAUUCUGACCAUUUUGUACUGAAGAUUAAAGAACGGAGCCCUUGAAUAUUUAGCUGUUCAACAAAUAUAUGAAACAAUCACUUCUUUGCUUUGCUGGAUCACCAGGGUUGAGAAUACAAGAGUUUGAAAGACUAUAGCACUUGCAGAGAAUUACACAGUUGCUUCUCUUUUCUUUCACCGCUGAUUCCGGCAUUAAAGAAACGUUACCCCAAACAUAAUCUCGCAACACAAAACCACCGACACGGAACCCAUCAAAACAGAACAAAAAACAGGAGAGGGCACAAGAACCAU